UAAAUGACUCUCGGCAACGGAUAUCUCGGCUCUUGCAUCGAUGAAGAACGUAGCGAAAUGCGAUACUUGGUGUGAAUUGCAGAAUCCCGUGAACCAUCGAGUCUUUGAACGCAAGUUGCGCUUGAAGCCAUUAGGCUGAAGGCACGUCUGCCUGGGCGUCACGC
rnacentral:rRNA from 1 species